CUUGAUAUUAUUUCUUGCAUGCUAGAUUAACAAGCUUAAAUUGUGUAUUGUUUAUAUGAUAGUUAAAAUUAAUCUGCUUAAUUCUUUGUUCAACACAGUUGUUUGUUUAUUUUUUGGCGGCCGUUGGCUUGGCAGCUAGCUCAUGUGUUUAUUCGAGCUGUUUGGAUGAAUAUAUUUAUCAUUUCUAAUGGCUAGACGCUAUAUUUGCUCUUUAACAUUAACUUUACAUGUUAUAUGUGACUGUCAGUGGUAUAGUCGAGUGCUUGUCCUGUGCUGUGAAAUAUAUCUGUUUGUCUUGUGUAUAUAUUGUGCCGUAAUAAAAUUGAGUAACUUUGAUUUCUUUUGUGAGAAGCCUGGUAAUUGUGUAAUUUUUGAUUUUAUAAAAAUGGAUAAUUACCACGUGAAUCACUGUUUACAUUUACUCGGAAGAAAUUGUUCCGAGUAUUCCUUAUUUUGAUUGGUCAAUUUGUUACCUGGAUACAGGACGCUCUUAUAUAUUUCUUUGUUUCGGGAUUCGCGGUACAUUUGAAAUUUUUCAUUGAAAUUAUUUACCCUCCCACCCGCCGC
rnacentral:lncRNA from 1 species